UCAUAGGAUAGUUAUAUAACACGAAACUGACCUGAUGAGUUAGAUUACAUAGUGCGCACUAUGUAGUGACUUAAACGUGUAUAAAUAAAAGUUGAAACCUAUUAC
rnacentral:ncRNA from 1 species